UUUCUAAACACAUUCUACAUUUUUAUUAUUUUAUGUUAAACUCUCUUUCAUUUUACAUGGGCAUCGUUUUAUUUUUUUGUCAAUUAAUUUAGUAAAACUUCAUAAUACUCCCUAAAUUGGUGGAUUAACCACUACAAAAUCGUUAUUUUCUAUUAAAACAGAGACAACAAAGAUUCGAAACCUCUUUGACCUUCAUCAUAUGUUAGCGAAAAAUGCAACUAUGCAUUAAAACAAUAUUUUCAUAUUUUUGAAUUUUUUCUCAAAAUCUACGUGUUAACAACCCCUACGAAAAUAUUGAAUUUUUUUAGUAAAUGCACUGAAGCCUAUGAUCUUUUGUGUUGUUUUAAAAUUUCUAAACACAUUCUACAUUUAUAUUAUUUUAUAUUAAACUCUCUUUCAUUUUACAUGGGCAUAGUUUUACUUUUUUAUCAAUUAAUUUAGUAAAUCUUUAUAGUACUCCAUAAAUUGGUGGACUAACCACUAUAAAAUCGCUAUUUUGUAGAGAAACGGAGACAACAAAAGUUCCAAUCCUCUUUGACCUCCUUCAUACGUUACUGAAUGAUGCAACUAUGCAUUAAAACAGUAUUUUCAUAUUUUUGAAUUUUUCACAAAAUCAAUGUGUUAC
rnacentral:lncRNA from 1 species